AAACGAUCUCGUUAUGGCGAGGCUACCUAAUAAACAAAAGUUACUGCCGUACUUGCAUGGAGACAAGCUUGUAUUGGUAAAACAUGUAUGAUCGAAUUAAGGUCUUACAAAAGUAACUUUCCGCUUGGAAUACGUUGUUAGAAGCUAAAACCUAAACGUUGGGAUCCAUU
rnacentral:sRNA from 1 species